ACGACGAGCCGGGUGUACUCGUGCCAUCACAAGAGCCCGCACUCGUCUCUGCUUGUUUUUUCUCCAAUUCUAGAAUUUCUAUUUCUAUUUUGUGCUCUUCGCACGUUCGUUCGUAUUCCUUUUCAAUGAACGGCAUCGUAUCGUCCUUCGACAGGUCUAAGUCUAGCUAUCGCCGCCUUGGGCAAAGAAGGUGAGUAGGCUGAACCCGAUCCAGGUGCACUCAUGCCAUCGCGAUUGCCCGCGCCCAUUUAUGCUAGUGUUUAUUUCAAUUCUACAGUUUCUUUUUCUCUUUCGUGCUCUUCGCACGUGCGUUCGGGUUGCAUUUCGAAGAACGUCUCGUCUUCUGACAGGUUCAAAUCUUUAGCUAUCGCGGCGUACGGCAAUGAAGGUGAGUCGGGUGACGCCGGUCCGCGUGCACUCGUGCCAUCACGAGAGCCCGCACCCAUCUCUGCUUGUUUUUUCUCCAAUUAUAGAAUUACUGCUUCCAUUCUGUGCUCUUCGCACGCUGAUUUGUGUUGUUUUUCGAAGAAUGCCAUUGUCUCGUCCUUCGACAAGUUUAAAUCUUUAGCUUUUGCCGCCUAGAGUAAAGAAGGUGAGUCGGAUGACGCCGAUCCGUGUGUGCUCGUGCCAUCACGAGAGCCCCCGCCCAUCUCUCCUAGCUUUAUCUUCAAUUCUUGAAUUUCUUCUUUAGCAGGGAUUGUGCAGCAAAAAGGGAGACAAACGCUCAGUAUUGCAGUAGGUAUGUCGUCUCUGCUUCCAAGUGAAGUGAGUUGCCAAGGAGGGCUUGUUUUUGCUGUUUUUGAUGCUGUGAUGUUGUUGCCGAUGCUGCAGUUGAUUGGCUCAGCCGAUAUUCGCGCCUGCCGGUACAAAUGAAUCCUCGCUGCACCCGCCACGCCACGGGCACGCAUGUAGGAGCACUGGCGUCGGCAGAACUUACAGCUUCUGGAGCAGGGACUCGUCAGCAAAAAGGCAGACAUGCACUCAGCAUAGCAGUAGGUACCAGGGAAUCCUCGCCGCACCCGCCACCCCACGUGCACGCUUGUAGGAGCACUGGCGUCGAUACAGCUUGCAGCUUCCGGAGCAGGGAAUCUGAAGAAAAAAGUCAGAUAAGCGCUCAGCGUGGCAGCAGGUGCCAAGGAAUCCUCGCCGGACCCGUCACGCCACGUGCACGCUUGUAGAAGCACAGGCGUCGGCACAACUUGCAGCUUCCUGAGCACGGAAUCUGCAGCAAAAAGGCCGACUAGCACUCAGCGUUGCAGUUGGUUGGCACAGCUGACAGUCGCGCCUGCAGCUACCAGGGAAUCCUCGCUGCACCCGCCUCGCCACGUGCAUGCUUGUAAGAGCAAUGGCGUCUGCACAACUUGCAGCUUCUGGAGCAGGGAAUGUGCAGCAAAAAUGCAGACACGCACUCAGCGUGCAGUAGGUCAGUCGCCGCUGCUGCCAAAUGAAUUGCCGCGGAGCUUUCGUUUUUCUAGCUUUUGAUGCUGUGAAGUUGUUGCCGAUGCUGCAGUUCAGAAUGAACUCAGAAACACCAGAAUGUCCAAUAUAAAUGUGUCAGGUUCAUAUAGGUUUGUUACAGUUGCAAAAAAUCCCCAUCAGACCUUUUCCAAACAGCCAAUUUAGAGACCCUACCACUGAGACAAAACUAGGAAAGAAUAAUUCUGUUCUCCUUAAUUUACCAUAACAAACUUGGAAUAAACAAAAAUGCAUAUUUUCGUUCAGUUACCCAGCAACAAACCCGUUCUUUCCUUUCAAAGAAGGUGAGCGAGUUCUUGUGCAGAACAAAUGUGUUCAAAGCCUCACUUUUCCUGAGCACAGUUUGCACAUGCAAUUGGAUCAAAUAAAGUUCAUUGUCUGUCUGUC